UCCUGGGACAUCUGGUGGCUGGAUGGAAAAUGUUGCUUCUUGAGGCAGGAGUGGAGAGACAGAUUUCUGGCAGACAGCCUGGGGACUGGGUCAAUGGGUGUGACAAAAGGAUGACCAGGACACAGGGUUGAAGGAAGGGCAGACCACUAGGAAGAACAGUCUGUCUCUGUGUGUUUGCUGGCCAUGGCCUCCUGGUUCCCUCCUCCUGCCAGCAGCUGCUGAACCUGUACACCUGAACCACAUCUGCAAUCAAGCCACUGCAGAAUAAAACCCCGGCUCAAACAUCCAGACUCCGGCAGAUGGUUCCAUCUUCUCAGUGGUUCACCAUGCCAGCCUUCACCAUUCCCUGCUCACCUCAGCCAUCAUUUCAUUCAAGCCUUCAGCUCCACUUCUUCCAAUAAACUGCCUUUAACCAUC